rnacentral:rRNA from 1 species
GACGAACGCUGGCGGCGUGCCUAACACAUGCAAGUCAACUUGACUGAAGGAGCAAUCUGACAGUAGAGUGGCGCAAGGGUGCGUAACGCGUAAGUAACUUGCCCAAGGUAAGGAAUAACGUCGAGAAAUCGGCGCUAAUACCUCAUAAUGCAGCGGAUCCGCAUGGAUAUGUUGUUAAAGGUUAACCGCCUUGGGAUAGGCUUGCGUCUGAUUAGUUAGUUGGUGUGGUAACGGCACACCAAGGCUACGAUCAGUAACUGGUCUGAGAGGAUGAUCAGUCACACUGGAACUGAGACACGGUCCAGACUCCUACGGGAGGCAGCAGUGAGGAAUAUUGGGCAAUGCUCGAAAGAGUGACCCAGCAACGCCGCGUGGAGGAUGAAGGUAUUCUAUAUCGUAAACUCCUGUGAGAGCAGACGAAAGACAGAUUAUAAUCUGGAUGACUGUAUGCUCAGAGGAAGCCCCGGCUAAC